GUGCCAGCCGCCGCGGUAAUACGUAGGUGGCAAGCGUUAUCCGGAAUUAUUGGGCGUAAGCGCGCGUAGGCAGUUUUUUAAGUCUGAUGUGAAAGCCCACGGCUCAACCGUGGAGGGUCAUCGGAAACUGGAAAACUUGAGUGCAGAAGAGGAAAGUGGAAUUCCAUGUGUAGCGGUGAAAUGCGCAGAGAUAUGGAGGAACACCAGUGGCGAAGGCGACUUUCUGGUCUGUAACUGACGCUGAUGUGCGAAAGCGAGGGGAUCAAACAGGAUUAGAUA
rnacentral:rRNA from 1 species